rnacentral:rRNA from 1 species
CUACGGAACAACUCCGGGAAACUGGAGCUAAUACCGUAUACGUCCUUCGGGAGAAAGAUUUAUCGGGGAUGGAUGAGCCCGCGUUGGAUUAGCUAGUUGGUGAGGUAAUGGCUCACCAAGGCGACGAUCAGUAGCUGGUCUGAGAGGACGAACAGCCACACUGGAACUGAGACACGGUCCAGACUCCUACGGGAGGCAGCAGUGAGGAAUAUUGGUCAAUGGGCGCAAGCCUGAACCAGCAAUGCCGCGUGUGGGAUGACGGCGCUUUGCGUUGUAAACCACUGUCGGACGGGACGAAAAGCGAUAUCAAUCGCCGAGACGGUACCGUCAAAGGAAGGGUCGGCUAACUACGUGCCAGCAGCCGCGGUAAUACGUAGGACCCAAGCGUUGUCCGGAUUCACUGGGUAUAAAGGGUGCGUAGGCGGUCUUGUGCGUCAGAGGUGAAAUAUCCGGGCUCAACCCGGAGGGUGCCUUUGAUACGGCAGGACUUGAGUGCGAGAGAGGAUGAUGGAAUUCCUGGUGUAGCGGUGAAAUGCGUAGAUAUCAGGAGGAACACCGGUGGCGAAGGCGGUCAUCUGGCUCGCAACUGACGCUGAGGCACGAAAGCGUGGGGAUCAAACAGGAUUAGAUACCCUGGUAGUCCACGCCCUAAACGAUGUAUGCUUGGUGUUGGUCCCGCAAGGGAUCAGUGCCGUAGGAAAUCUGAUAAGCAUACCACCUGGGGAGUACGAUCGCAAGGUUGAAACUCAAAGGAAUUGACGGGGGCCCGCACAAGCGGUGGAUCAUGUGGUUUAAUUCGAUGCAACGCGAAGAACCUUACCCGGGCUUGAAGUGCAGGAAGUACAGAG